AAGAGGGACAGGGAAAAAAAUGUGAUUUCAGUUAUCCGUACUCAAAUCACGGAUCUGACCCCCAGCCCUCCCCAGCCCUGCAUCCCCAAAAUGAAUCCAAGAGUCGGAGGGAGGGUGGUGAGGUAAUCACGGAUCGGGAAGUCCUGAGAGAGGAGGAGGGGGCACACAGAGGGGUGGGGGCUGAGGUAGGCCCAGGGCUGGCGGGGGCCGCUCAGGAGGGGGUCCCCAUCCUGUGUGCUGGCUGCCGGCUUGGAGUGUGGCUGAGGUUCUCCCGGGGGCGGGAGGAGAAGGGGGGCGGGACGCGGAGCUGGCUCAGUGGGCGCGGGCCGAGCUGGCCACUGGCUGGAAGGGGCUCGCAGGCUGGGCGGCGGCGGCAGCGUCCUCCGGGUAGAGAGAGAGCAGCGAGGGUCCCAGGCCUGCGGGGAGAGAUGGGGGGAGCCAUCAGCCCAACCUGUGCCAUCUUCCUAGCAGCCAAACGUGUCCUUCCUGGAUUCCAGCAGCCCCGAGCGCUCAGGCUGUUGAUGGCCAUGGUCAAGAAGAGCCCCAGUUCAGAGCCGGACGGCUGUCCCAGCGUGAAUCCAAGGCUUCUCGGGUGCUUGUGGUGUGAUCUGGAGCAAAGUGACUUGACCUAGCUGGGCCUCGGUCUUCUCAUCUGUACAAUGGGCAAAUGGCACCAUCCUCUUGGGGCUACUGUGAGGAGUAUAGGAGUCAAUCUGCGUGCAGCGCUUUGAGCGUGAACUGCUACUGGUGGGUGCUUAGUGAGUGAGCUUCACACCUGCCAUGUUUAUGAGGAUUUACUCAUUCAAAAUGUACCUGCUAAUCGCUUCUCGGCCUUUCGGCUAAGAUCAAGUACAAAAUAUACCCACUGUUCAUCCAUGAGGUGCCAGGCACUGUGCUGGUUGCUGGAGCGGGAUGGGUGGGACUCCCUGGCCUCGUGGGAAACAGGAGAACCCGUGAGGGCCCUGGGUGCGAUGCCGCACAGGAAGGAUUUGGCACCAAGCCUGCGGCACCGUAAGCGCUUAACGAACGUUAGCGACUCAUGACAGUAAUGCACCGAGCACCUCCGGUGUCCUCUGCCACUGCCCGGCCACACACAGGGGAAGUCCAGCCAUGACCAAGAUGGCGCUGGCUCCCUGCCCUCACAGGGAGAAGCCAGCCAAAUCAUCAAACGGUGACACAGACACCUCUGUGACAAGCUAUGGGUCUGCGAAGCCAGGGAGAGCUUUCUAGAACGAGUCCUGGUUGAUCUGAGCCCUAAAGGGU
rnacentral:lncRNA from 1 species